UGGAAACGGUGGCUAAUACCGAAUAUCUUCCUUUGACCGCAUGGUCAGCUGAAGAAAUGCUCCGGCGCUUUAGGAGGGUCUCGCGGCCUAUCAGCUAGUUGGUGAGGUAAUGGCUCACCAAGGCAUCGACGGGUAGCUGGUCUGAGAGGACGAUCAGCCACACUGGGACUGAGACACGGCCCAGACUCCUACGGGAGGCAGCAGUAGGGAAUCUUGCGCAAUGGGCGAAAGCCUGACGCAGCGAUGCCGCGUGGGGGAUGAAGGCUCUCGGGUCGUAAACCCCUUUCAGCAGGGACGAAAAUGACGGUACCUGCAGAAGAAGCCCCGGCCAACUACGUGCCAGCAGCCGCGGUAACACGUAGGGGGCAAGCGUUGUCCGGAUUUAUUGGGCGUAAAGGGCUCGUAGGCUGUUCAGUAAGUCAGGUGUGAAAACCCAAGGCUCAACCUUGGGACGCCACUUGAUACUGCUGUGACUAGAGUCCGGUAGAGGAGAUUGGAAUUCCUGGUGUAGCGGUGAAAUGCGCAGAUAUCAGGAGGAACACCAACGGCGAAGGCAGAUCUCUGGGCCGGUACUGACGCUGA
rnacentral:rRNA from 1 species